rnacentral:rRNA from 1 species
GACGAACGCUGGCGGCGUGCUUAACACAUGCAAGUCGAACGGAAAGGCCUGCUUUCCCUUGUGGAUUGCGGGUACUCGAGUGGCGAACGGGUGAGUAACACGUGAGUGAUCUGCCCCCAACUUGGGUAUAAGCCUGGGAAACUGGGUCUAAUUCCCGAUAGGACUGCAGGGUGGUGCCUGUGGUGGAAAACGAUUUUCUAGUGGUUGGGGAUGAGCUCGCGGCCUAUCAGCUUGUUGGUGGGGUAAUGGCCUACCAAGGCGGCGACGGGUAGCCGGCCUGAGAGGGUGGACGGCCACAUUGGGACUGAGAUACGGCCCAGACUCCUACGGGAGGCAGCAGGGGGGAAUAUUGCACAAUGGGCGGAAGCCUGAUGCAGCGACGCCGCGGGGGGGAUGACGGCCUUCGGGUGGUAAACUCCUUUCGACCGCGAGGAAGCCACCUGGUUGGAAGGGUGGUGACGGUAGUGGUAGAAGAAGCACCGGCUAACUACGUG